GUUCCCGCCGCACGAGCACCCUCAUGAAGCGUCUUUUUUUUCUCCCGACGCAGGGCGAGCGCCGCCCACCGGCCGCCGCCCUCCGUCUCCCCCAAUAUUCCUCUCCGCCGUUCUGCUGCUCCCCUCCAUCUCAAUCCCAGUGAGAUGAGCAGGCCCGUCGCUCCCCGCACCCCUAAUCCCCUCCCUCUCAAACCCCGCCUGCGUCCGAUUGGAAGCUCCAAGGCAGCGGUGGCCGUAGCUCUGGGCUUGUCCCCCAAGGAGGAGGGAGUGGGAUCCCCUCGGUGUGCCCACACGAUGGCGGAUGCUGGUGUCAUGGGGUCCCCUCUACGCGCCCUCACAUCGGCGGACGCUGGGGAAGCAGGAUCCCCUCGGCGCGCCCUCACGGCGGCAGACACUAGGGGAGCGGGAUCGCCUCGGCGCGCCCUCACAGCGGUGGACACUGGGGGCCUGGAGUCCCCGCGGCGUGCUCUCAGAGACGACCUUACGGCGGCAGUCGCUGGUGGCCUGGGGUCCCCGUCUAUUUCGUUGUUGAUUCGGUCCCCGACUCUGUUGAGGCUGAAGCUUUUUUCGAUGAUGGCGAAAAUCGUUCGUGGCUCAGAGUCACAGCAAGCAGUUUUUGUGCAAGAACAGCGUCCAUUACAAUGAGUUUUUCAUUGUUGUUUUCGAUUGCAGUGAGUAGUAGUGGAUUUGUGGCACGACAGUUCCUUUCAAAUCUAUUGCAGGAGGAUGAUGCGUGAAUGGCUGCGUCUAUUGGAGGGUGAGCAGGUUGAUAGUGUGAAGAUUUAGCCGAAGACAAGCCAAGCAAUCAGCUUGCUGUCAUGGAGAAGAGGGAGAUGCCAAGCAUCGAGGAUGCAGAGACUGAUGAUGAGGACGUUGAUGUGCGUGGCCAUCCUCGAGGCACUUGAGGACGACGAAUCACUGGAGUACUACAUUGACGACGUCAUCGCUACCAUGCUUCCUGUGUAUAACCAGAGAUUAUUCAAAUCAAAGGGCAGCCCCUGAUCUUCUCCUUGAAGACUUUGGUUCUGCUCGUCCUCAGGUGCUGCAUGGUUUUCAUUCCCUAGAUCAAUAUGUUCACAUGAAUCCAUGAGAAGACUGUGGUUCUGCUCCUCCUCAAAUGCAGCAUGGUUAUCAUUUCCUAGAUCAAUGUUUUCACAUAAAUCCAUGAGAAGCGGGAUCAACUUCUUCGUCAUGGAUUACCGGCAGCUGGUUUAGAUCAGGUUCUAUUGGAACUAUGGAGGCAUGGCUUCUGUUGGAGAUUCUGCUGGUGCCGUAGCUUUUUGGGAUGAUGGAGGACGGCUCCUGGAGGAGAUGCUGAAUUUAUAGUAGGGGGGUGCGGGCUUCUGCUGAAUUUUUUGCUCCAAAAUUUUUGUUUAAGAAUUUUUAGGCGCUGGCCCUCUUUUGUUUUGGGGCUGGUCCUCUGUUUGUUUAGGUAUAGGUUUAUUAAAUGUGUUAAGACGCAGUCUUUAGGCAAUGUUUAGGCGUCAAUUUUUUUUACGCGGGAGUACCCUGGUGUGUGUGCCAGUUUUCGGUGGGCCGGGGGAGUUAAAAAGGGAUGCUAAUCUCCUUGGUUUUGGUGCGGCAGCUGAACAGCCGGCCGAGAAUGUGGCAACUGAUUAACUGAACAGCACUAAUGAGGGGUACAUGCGUCAUUUGACUACCUC